GUCUUUGUUUUUGAAUGUGUAAACUCUGUUUCCGAAUAUUAAACUGAUCCACACGAAAUGGAAAGUGCACUCUGCACCAGAUGCUUCAGCAAUUUGUUUGUGCAGAAGAAUUGUUGAGCUGCAGACAAUGAUGAAAGUUUUGUUCCUCGUUCUGUGUUCAGGAAUUUUGCAGUUUUCAUUAGCUGCAUACCGUCUGCGAUACUUUAAUGAUUAUCCAGAAGAGAGACUGAACUGGACUGACGCAAAACAAUACUGUGUUGAAGAGGGAGGAUCAUUACUGAGUCUGCAUGAUGAAGAGGAGGAGAGGAUGAUAUUUAAUUACACUAACCCCGGACCUGGGUUUUGGAUUGGCCUCAAGAAGAAGGAUAAUUAUACUCUCUUUUGGUCAAAUGGAGAAAUUGUCAACUUUACCAAGUCAACAGUAAACAUUAGUGAUGUAGAUCAACUCUGUGAAGCUUUUGAAAACGGUUCAUGGAAGGGUGUUAAAUGUUCAGAAGAAAAAGCUUUCAUGUGUAAAAGUGGUGAAAAUUUCGUCCUUGUAGACGAUGUUGAGAGAAACUGGUGCCAGGCAAGGCAACACUGCAGAACACAUUUCAACAAUUUAGCGAGUAUCAUGGACGAACAGCAAAAUGAAGACCUGCGACAAAAAAGUCGAGGAAAAAACGUUUGGAUCGGGUUUCAGCAUGACAAAUAUGAAUGGGCAGACAAAAGUUGUUCAACAUUCAGAACUAUUAGUGAUAGUUCUGACACAUGUGUCUCUUUACAUAACAAUGGGAAUGAGCUUAAUUGGAUUCCACUUGGGUGCAGUAAUGUAAAACCAAUCAUUUGUUAUAAAGGUUAGCUAUAAAUUUAAUACAUUUACUGGCAAAUAUUGUUAUUGAGAAAAUUUAGAAAUGUUGUAAUGCAGAAUUAGAACAAAUAUGCACAUUCAUCUUAGACAUUAAUAAGCGAAGCAGUAAAGUUCCAAGAGAAUAUCAGUGCUAUGUUAUUGAGAAAUAGUGUGACAUAAAUUUACCUUCUAGGCUCAAUUAGAUCCAGUAAAGUAAAGUUUAACAUGUCAUAAUUUGGAGUUUUAAUCAAAUACACAAAUAAUCAAUCCCAAAUGCUAAAAAUGCAUCAUCCUAUUUCCAGACACUGUCAGCACAAUUUAUAGACAAGCUAAAGAUUAGCAUGCAGCAAAGGAUUAAAAGAAUUGCGUUGAUGAUCUAGGCGAGCCUUUCACUUUCUGUGAGUCUUAUUUGUGUUUUUUGUCUUAAUUUUCAGGCAAUGUGAGAAUCAUAGUAAUCAAGGAGCCCAAAACUUGGGAGGACGCCCUGAAUUACUGUGAAGCCAGACAUUCACGCUUUCUAUGGAUUGAGGAUGAGGAGGACCAGAAAGCUGUUGGACAGUGGCUAAAUUUCACUGUCACUGGUUCUUUGAAGCAUUUGUGGAUCGGUCUGAGGCAGAGUUCUGUCUUUGGGUUCUGGAUUUGGAGUGACCGAAUUGCAAACUAUAAGAACUGGGAGAAUGGAAAACAGCCUGAGAUGGCUUUGUUCCGUCACUGUGGUGUGAUUGAUGCUAAAAUCUUCGAAUGGAGUGGUGAAGAUUGUAAGCUUAUGUUACCUUUCCUCUGUGAAGAGGAUAUAAUAUACAUGAAGACCUAAAAUUACAGCUUCAUUCAACAGCUGAAAGCCUAAUGAUGUCAUGUUACCACUUCCAUCCAUCUGUCUGUUUCUCUCUCUCUCUCUGUUAUUGGUGGGUUUGAUUCUAUGUUUAGGUGUUUUUUUUUAAUCAUUUCAUGUAAUCAGUGUCCGAAUUUUGACUGCAUAUUUAAGGUCUCAUAUGUAUUUCCAAAAGCAGUAUGUAAAAUGUUUUGCCUUUUUUUUUCUGUUGUGCAGUUUUUGACAAGAGAUACUUCCAAAUCAUAUAUUUAAAGUGAUUAAAUAAUUACAGAUUUAA